GAAUCCACAAAAAAGGAAAGCUGCUGAGAAUUGAAAGAAAAGUUACUGUUCUAUUAAAAAUUUCAGUGAUUUUUAUUCCUUUUCAACUUCUAAAACUGUUAGAAUUCAUCCAAGUGAGAAAUGGCUUAAACUUGGUUGUCAAAGUUUUAGUUUAAAGCUUUUCUAGACUAUUUCAUUGGUUUGAACCUGAUAUCUUUAGCUGUUAUCUAUCAUUCUGGGGUUCAGAUUUGUUUUUACCGGUUGCUUUGGUGCUAUUUUCUACUGAUGUACCUUCUGAUAUUGUUCUGCUUUGCCGAUCCCUUCUUUUUCCUCAUAUUUUGCUUUCCCAGGUAUUUCUUUAGCUCAUGAUAGAGACAUGAUUGUUGAGCAUGUAAAAGAUUAGAAGUUUUGUUAAAUGAAGAUUCUAUUUUAAGUUGGAUUCCCCUUCUCCUUUUACUAUUACAUGUUCUGUAAUCAGAUUUCAAGUUAUAGAUGUUACUUAGGGCCUUUUGCUUUCCUUUGAAAUUGAGUGUGUGAGAGUGACUUGGUAUGGUAUUUUGUAUCUGUAUCAAUAAGUGAACAAUGGACUUUAAUUAUUCAAGUUCAUGUUUGAUGUUGUAUCCCGGUCUAGCUUUGUGAGUUUUCCUGUCGAGAAUCACUCAGUUUUAGUCUUGAAGGUCAAGGUUGUAGUUUCAGGUUGAUAUAUCUUGAAUUUUGCUUGGUUUUAGUCGAAAUCAGUUGGUACUUAUAAUAUGAUUUAUGUUUCAGUUGGCUUAAAUGGGCAUGCUAUUAGUUUGCUGUAUGAAGAUCUGUUCAUAUGAGCUUUGUUGAAGAUUUAAGGCUUUAAAUUUGAUUUCAAUUUGAUUUGGAGAUUUGGAAGGCAAAGUUUGCCUACAGCUAUGUCAUUUAAAUAGGGUUGGCAAUUUCUUUUAAAACCUAUAUUGCAUUCAUUGUGAG
rnacentral:lncRNA from 1 species